UACGGAGGAUGCGAGCGUUAUCCGGAUUUAUUGGGUUUAAAGGGUGCGUAGGCGGGCUUUUAAGUCAGCGGUAAAAAUUCGGGGCUCAACCCCGUCCGGCCGUUGAAACUGGGGGUCUUGAGUGGGCGAGAAGAAGGCGGAAUGCGUGGUGUAGCGGUGAAAUGCAUAGAUAUCACGCAGAACCCCGAUUGCGAAGGCAGACUUCCGGCGCCCUACUGACGCUGAGGCACGAAAGUGCGGGGAUCGAACAGG
rnacentral:rRNA from 1 species